CUAAUAUAUAUGCCAACAAGUAGGUAGCAAAUCCAUUGAUAUGCAAGUGAAAUCAAUAAGUGAUACCUCCCUCAAAAGAAUGCACUAUUGACCAACUGUGAUCUUUUGUAAAAGAUUUGAAUGUGAGCAUAUUUGUUUAGACCUAGUAGAUGGUGAAUUAUGCUUAAGUAAGAUAAAAUAAACAAAAAAUUUGAUGGAGGCUCAUGGCAAUAUUGACAUGCAAAUUAUUUAUCAAAUAUGGAUAUAAAAGCAAAAGACUAAUCAAACCAUCUAGUACCUUA
rnacentral:ncRNA from 1 species